UUUGCAGGACGACCUGCAAAUGUAUCUUUCACCGGGGACGGCCCC
rfam:Citrobacter koseri ATCC BAA-895, complete genome.